CGGGGUGAGUAUCGCGUAGGGAUUUAUCGUUGGGUGGGGGGAUAACCUUGGGAAACUGGGGCUAAUACCGCAUGACGCCUGUGGGCCAAAGGCAGCGAUGUCGCCUGAUGAGGAGCCUGCGUCCGAUUAGCUAGUUGGUGGGGUAAAGGCUUACCAAGGCUGCGAUCGGUAGCUGGUCUGAGAGGAUGAUCAGCCACACUGGGACUGAGACACGGCCCAG
rnacentral:rRNA from 1 species